UAGGGAAUCUUCGGCAAUGGGGGGAACCCUGACCGAGCAACGCCGCGUGAGUGAAGAAGGUUUUCGGAUCGUAAAGCUCUGUUGUUAAGGAAGAACGAGUGUGAGAAUGGAAAGUUCAUACUGUGACGGUACUUAACCAGAAAGGGACGGCUAACUACGUGCCAGCAGCCGCGGUAAUACGUAGGUCCCGAGCGUUGUCCGGAUUUAUUGGGCGUAAAGCGAGCGCAGGCGGUUAGAUAAGUCUGAAGUUAAAGGCAGUGGCUCAACCAUUGUAGGCUUUGGAAACUGUUUAACUUGAGUGCAGAAGGGGAGAGUGGAAUUCCAUGUGUAGCGGUGAAAUGCGUAGAUAUAUGGGGGAACACCGGUGGCGAAAGCGGCUCUCUGGUCUGUAACUGACGCUGAGGCUCGAAAGCGUGGGGAGUGAACAGG
rnacentral:rRNA from 1 species